rnacentral:rRNA from 1 species
UACGGGGGGAGCAAACGUUGUUCGGAAUCACUGGGCGUAAAGGGCGUGUAGGCGGCUGGAUAAGUGGGAUGUUAAAUCCCCCGGCUCAACCGGGGACCUGCAUCUCAUACUGUUCAGCUCGAGCACAUCAGAGGAGACUGGAAUUCCCGGUGUAGCGGUGAAAUGCGUAGAGAUCCGGCGGAACACCGGUGGUGGAGACGGUCCCCUGGGCCGAGGCCGACGCUGAGGCGCGAGAGCGCGGGGAGCGAACCGG